UUGACGGGACCGCACAAGCGGUGGAUGAUGUGGUUAAUUCGAUGCAACGCGAAAACCUUACCACCUUUGACAUGUACGGAAGCCUUUAGAGAUAGAGGCGUGCUCGAAAGAGAGCCGUAACACAGGUGCUGCAUGGCUGUCGUCAGCUCGUGUCGUGAGAUGUUGGGUUAAGUCCCGCAACGAGCGCAACCCUUGUCAUUAGUUGCUACAUUCAGUUGGGCACUCUAAUGAGACUGCCGGUGACAAGCCGGAGGAAGUGGGGAUGACGUCAAGUCCUCAUGGCCCUUAUAGGUGGGGCUACACACGUCAUACAAUGGCUGGUACAAAGGGUUGCCAACCCGCGAGGGGGAGCUAAUCCCAUAAAGCCAGUCGUAGUCCGGAUCGUAGUCUGCAACUCGACUACGUGAAGUCGGAAUCGCUAGUAAUCGUGGAUCAGAAUGUCACGGUGAAUACGUUCCCGGGUCUU
rnacentral:rRNA from 1 species